rnacentral:rRNA from 1 species
UACGUAGGGGGCUAGCGUUGUCCGGAAUCAUUGGGCGUAAAGAGCUACGUAGGCGGUUCGGCAAGUCGGAUGUGAAAUCUCCACGCUCAACGUGGAGGGGCCAUUCGAAACUGCCGUGACUCGAGUCCGGUAGGGGAGUGCGGAAUUCCCGGUGGUAGCGGUGAAAUGCGCAGAUAUCGGGAGGAACACCAGUGGCGAAGGCGGCACUCUGGGCCGGA